rnacentral:rRNA from 1 species
UAGGGAAUCUUCCACAAUGGACGCAAGUCUGAUGGAGCAACGCCGCGUGAGUGAAGAAGGUUUUCGGAUCGUAAAGCUCUGUUGUUGGUGAAGAAGGAUAGAGGCAGUAACUGGUCUUUAUUGACGGUAAUCAACCAGAAAGUCACGGCUAACUACGUGCCAA